GCUCUGCCUGUCGAGGUUCCUGAACAUAUUGCUGCUUUGAGCUUUGAGACACUCGCUGUGGUCAGAAACAUUGAAGACCCUAGUGCUGAAAGGAUUGUACCCUUUGUACCCGAGUUGUCCCUGCAAAACCCCCAAAAUUCUUAUGCUGGUGAUUUGUCCUCUGAGAAUCCAGAUGAGGUUCCUGUGAG